UACAGAGGGUGCGAGCGUUAAUCGGAAUUACUGGGCGUAAAGCGUGCGUAGACGGUUAUUUAAGUCGGAUGUGAAAGCCCCGGGCUCAGCCUGGGAAUUGCAUUCGAGACUGAAUAGCUAGGGUGCGGUAGAGGGAAGCGGAAUUUCCGGUGUAGCGGUGAAAUGCGUAGAUAUCGGAAGGAACAUCAGUGGCGAAAGCGGCUUCCUGGACCAGCACCGACGUUCAGGCACGAAAGCGUGGGGAGCAAACAGG
rnacentral:rRNA from 1 species